GGACAGAUGGCCGAGUGGUCUAAGGCGGUUGACUUAAGUUACCCUAUAACUAUCUCAACUAUCGAAAGAUGCGUGGGUUCGAACCCCACUCUGUUCA
rnacentral:tRNA from 1 species